rnacentral:tRNA from 1 species
UCCUUGAUAGCUAAGUUGGUAAAGAAUAUGCCUGCAAUGCAGGAGACCCUGGUUUGAUUCCUGGUUUGGGGA